GUUUGACCUCGGAUCAGGUGGG
rnacentral:rRNA from 2 species